rnacentral:rRNA from 1 species
UUGGAGGGCAAGUCUGGUGCCAGCAGCCGCGGUAAUUCCAGCUCCAAUAGCGUAUAUUAAAGUUGUUGCAGUUAAAAAGCUCGUAGUUGAAUUUCGGGAUCAAAUAAUCGGUCGUGCCUCCGGUACGUACUGGUUCUAUUGGUUCCUCCCUUCUGACGAACCAUGAUGUCAUUAAUUUGAUGUGGUGGAGAAUCAGGACUGUUACCUUGAAAAAAUUAGAGUGUUUAAAGCAGGCUAACGCUUGAAUACAUUAGCAUGGAAUAAUGAAAUAGGACGUUCGACCCUAUUUUGUUGGUUUCUAGGAUUGACGUAAUGAUUAAUAGGGAUAGUUGGGGGCAUUAGUAUUCAAUUGUCAGAGGUGAAAUUCUUGGAUUUAUUGAAGACUAACUACUGCGAAAGCAUUUGCCAAGGAUGUUUUCAUUAAUCAAGAACGAAAGUUAGGGGAUCGAAGACGAUCAGAUACCGUCGUAGUCUUAACCAUAAACUAUGCCGACUAGGGAUCGGAUGAUGUUAAUUCUUUAAUGACUCAUUCGGCGCCUUACGGGAAAC